rnacentral:rRNA from 1 species
CGAAUUGCGAUAUGUAAUGUGAAUUGCAGAAUUCAGUGAAUCAUCGAAUCUUUGAACGCAUAUUGCA